UUAAUUUGCAACUAACAAAUUAGCAAAUUUGAUUUGAUUUGCGUUGUUAACUUUUAACAACGAAUUAAAUUUUAACAAACCAUUUUAUAAACGGGCCCCAAACGUUAUAUUAAAUAAUCACACUAACAAGAAGUAAUAAAUAAUAAUUAACACGAAAGUAUUGAUGUACGAUAUAAAAUAAUUGAGAAAUUUUUUAUUCAGUAAUUUGUUAAAAUCGGGUAAUUAAUUAUGAAGUCGCAAUUUAUGGCACUUUUUACACAUUUCUAAAAAAAUUAUUGAUGAAACUAAUUUUUAUCGAGGAUUAAUUUUUUAUUCGUUUUCACUUUUGUUAGCUCUUUUGUCACAACUAAUAAUAAUAGACAAAAGUCUUGUAUCACUCAAGGAUGAAAUAUCACGGGAUUAAACUAUUGAAGCUGGAUUUUAACCACUAAACAAAUAUUUGAAGACGUAAUCCGUUAAAACACUGGAUUAAAAGAGAAUUAGGACAAAUUCAAUUCAAUUUUAUCUAUCUAAUCAGCAGAUUAGACUGUUGUUUAUCCACCACGUUUAUAAAAGAGAUUCUGCUCUCGAUACCUCAGUAGAUAUCGCAAUGAAAGUGCCAGUACUGAUAGUACUAGCCCUCGUGGGCUUGUCUAGUGCCAAAUACGAGGGCUCAACAAUCUUGAGUUUAGCAUUGAAAUCGAAAAUGUUGGAACCGCCAUUCAGGCUGAAAAACACUACCACAAAUCGAGACAAGCUUUAGGUUUGGGAAAAAUUACUUACGCCACGUUGAGAUUAAUGCUUAUUUGGCCCAACUGGCUAAAGACUACCCCGACACUGUCACUCUAGAAACAAUCGGACAGUCGUACGAAAAACAUUCCCCGACUACAAUCCGAUCUAUUCUUACAGCAUCUCCUCUUUCACGACAGCUUAUACCGUUUAUAGGUAUGUGUCUAUCGAGGAGAAUCAUCGGCACGACCAUCAAUCCUGAAUUCGUCUUCGACUCAUGAGCCUUUGGCCUUUGGCGAAUCAACAGGACAGUAAAAUUAGCUGAACUUGGUGAACAAACCAAGCAUUUGGAAAUUUAAUUAUUAAUUUUAUUAUUAACACCAUAAACAAAUCAUUAGCAGAAUAAUAAAAUAAGUAUUAAUUUUUUUAACAUAAUAAAUUAUAAUAGUGUAUCACUACAGACAGAUUUACUUAUUCCUUCAGUUCCAACUUGAUAUGUUAUAAAAACUUUCUUCUCCUCUGGCUCGAAUGUCAAACCAGCGUAAAUCUUUUUUGAAAUGUGUUUAUAGUCAGGUUCAUCAAAUUUAGUGUAAUAUUGCUUCUCAAAAAUUUGUUGUAAAGCUUCAUUUGCAGACUUGGAAUACAUUUUGUAUUCAAAAAUGAUUCCAACGUUCUUACUGAUUAUCACCACAUCUAGGGUAUUGGCUAUCCCUGGUCCUUUUCUUUUUUUCUUGAUCUGGACCUCACUGUGUGUUUCGAAGUAUCUGGAGUUAUAUGUCAGAGUAUACAAGAUGUGAUGAAGUUCUUUUUCGUUCAUGAUCCCCUGUGAUUCAGA